rnacentral:misc_RNA from 1 species
UACUGAGGGAGCUAGCGUUGUUCGGAAUUACUGGGCGUAAAGCGCGCGUAGGCGGCUCAUUAAGUCAGAGGUGAAAUCCCGGGGCUCAACCCCGGAACUGCCUUUGAAACCGGCGAGCUAGAAUCCUGGAGAGGCGAGUGGAAUUCCGAGUGUAGAGGUGAAAUUCGUAGAUAUUCGGAAGAACACCAGUGGCGAAGGCGACUCGCUGGACAGGUAUUGACGCUGAGGUGCGAAAGCGUGGGAAGCAAACAGG